GACGGAGGAGGCUAGCGUUGUUCGGAAUUACUGGGCGUAAAGCGCGCGCAGGCGGCUGCACAAGUCAGGGGUGAAAGCCCGGGGCUCAACCUCGGAACUGCCUUUGAGACUGUGCGGCUGGAGACCGAGAGAGGAGAGUGGAAUUCCCAGUGUAGAGGUGAAAUUCGUAGAUAUUGGGAAGAACACCAGUGGCGAAGGCGGCUCUCUGGCUCGGUACUGACGCUCAUGCGCGAAAGCGUGGGGAGCAAACAGG
rnacentral:rRNA from 1 species